GUUGUUGCUGGCCCUCUCGGGGGCAUGUGCACACCCACCAUCCUCAUCUCUCCACCUGUGCACCUCUUGUAGACCUGGAUUGACUUUCCGAGGCAACUCGGUCGGGAAGAUUGCUGCGCUCUGUGAGCCAGCUUUCUUUGCAUGUCCAGGCCUAUGUUUUUCAUAUACCCCUAUAGAAUGUAACAGAAUGUAUCAUUGGGCCUUGUGCCUAUAAACCUUAUACAACUUUCAGCAACGGAUCUCUUGGCUCUCGCAUCGAUGAAGAACGCAGCGAAAUGCGAUAAGUAAUGUGAAUUGCAGAAUUCAGUGAAUCAUCGAAUCUUUGAACGCACCUUGCGCUCCUUGGUAUUCCGAGGAGCAUGCCUGUUUGAGUGUCAUUAAAUUCUCAACCUUAUUAACUUUUGUUGAUAAUGGAUUGGAUUGUGGGGGUUUCUUUUGCUGGCUUCUUCACAGAGAUCAGCUCCCCUUAAAUGCAUUAGCUGGUGCCCCGCGUGGACCAUCUAUUGGUGUGAUAAUUAUCUACGCCGUGGAUGUCUGCAAUUAUAUGGGUUUCGCACUGCUUCUAACCGUCUGUUCAUUCGGACAAUACAUGACAAUUUGACCUCAAAUCAGGUAGGACUACCCGCUGAACUUAAGCAUAUCAAUAAGCGGAGGAAAAGAAACUAACAAGGAUUCCCCUAGUAACUGCGAGUGAAGCGGGAAAAGCUCAAAUUUAAAAUCUGGCGGUCUCCGGCCGUCC
rnacentral:rRNA from 1 species